GCAAAGGCGACUGAGAAGCAGUUAUCAGUACCCAGCACUCACAACUUGAUGUUUGAAGUCAAAGUCUCCUAAUGAGUGAAACUGUGAGACUACGCCACGCAACAAGUCUGUCUUAAACAUGAGCAACAAGUUUUUGUACCUGAUCCAGUUUACCACAGAGCACCAUGAAAGUCUAGUGCCAAUCUCACAGUGGUAUAAUGUCUAUAAACGAUGAUCUGCUAUGAGGCAGACUUGUGAACACAUCCAUAAGAAGGGCUUGGAGAGCUGAGCAAUAUUAUGUGCUACAUAAGAGAUAACACCAUAACAUCUUCAACUUCAACAUGCCAAUGUAAUAAACUAUGAUGGAAUGCUGAGAUGUCACCAACUGGCUUAGAGAGGUGAUAAGACUCAACGCCAGUGGCAAGUAUACACACAUACUAGACUUUAGCCAAUUUGUUCUUCUACAAAUUUAAAGGGGUUAAGUGAGAUCUCUCUGGUCCCUCCAAGAUCAGAUUCUAUGACUUUAAGAGACAAUCUGAAAAUACAAGGUGUCUCUUUGAAAAGGAACCACCAUUUACUUUUUGUUUCUUUCCAUUCAAAGGCUAUAAAAUAGAAAGCCUUUCUGCAAAAGUCCUACCCAUUCUAUUGUUCCCUAAGUCCAUUCAGUCUAAG